UACGUAGGGGGCGAGCGUUGUCCGAAGUUACUGGGCGUAAAGCGCGCGUAGGCGGGUUGGCAAGUCUGCUGUGAAAGCCCGGGGCUUAACUCCGGAGGGUCGGUGGAUACUGCCAGUCUUGAAGGUGCUAGGGAGAGAUGGAAUUACCGGUGUAGCGGUGAAAUGCGUAGAUAUCGGUAGGAACACCAGUGGCGAAGGCGGUCUCUUGGGCCUGUACUGACGCUCAUGCACGAAAGCGUGGGGAGCAAACAGG
rnacentral:rRNA from 1 species